UCACUAUCUCUUUUCUAUAAUAAUAUAAACACUAUUACACCCACUAUCUUCCUCCACUAUCUCAAAUCUAUUAUUAAAUAUUGGUAGAUCCCACCACUUUACCCACUUUUCAACUAAACUUACUACAUUUUUCUUAAUCUCCGUGAAAGUCAAACCAGCUCACUCUUUUUGGGACGGAGGAGUAGUAGAUAAGCACGAUCAUAUAAAAAAGGGUAUAUAAGGACCCAUGAAACAGACCUUAAUUAUCGUAUCUCCUACACGAAAACUCAAUCAGAUUGUGUUAAUAAAAUAAAAACCGCAGCUUUACAAAGUGGGUUGUUGUUAAAACAUAAAAGAUGAUAUAAUAUUGAGAAUUUAAGUAAUCAUCGUUACCUUAUGAUGGUUAGGUACAGUGAUGGAGCAAAGAUUAUGUCGGCAAGAUUUUGUGUCAGUAACACGGAUGAAAUGUGUAAGUAAUAGUCUGUGGGUGUGACUGUGGCAUAUCAAAACAGACGACUUUGGUAGAGAGCUUAUGUGUCGAUGUGGGAAGUGGUUUUCGAGUCCAAAGGGUGACACCACAGCCACUGAAGAUGUGGUAAUGUUUGAACG
rnacentral:lncRNA from 1 species